GGUUAUGGUUCAGUGCUAGAGCACUCGCCUAGCACAUGGGAGAUCCUGGGUUCAAUCCUCAGCACCA
rnacentral:tRNA from 1 species